ACGAAGGUCCCAAGCGUUGUUCGGAAUAACUGGGCGUAAAGCGUGUGUAGGCUGCGCGGAAAGUCAAAUGUGAAAGCCAGAGGCUCAACCUCUGAACUGCAUUCGAUACUCCCGUGCUAGAGUAAUGGAGAGGUAAGUGGAAUUCUCGGUGUAGCAGUGAAAUGCGUAGAUAUCGAGAGGAACAUCAAUGGCGAAGGCAACUUACUGGACAUUUACUGACGCUCAGACACGAAGGCUAGGGGAGCGAAAGGG
rnacentral:rRNA from 1 species